UACGAAGGGGGCGAGCGUUGUUCGGAUUUACUGGGCGUAAAGGGCGCGCAGGCGGUUCUGUUUGUCGAGUGUGAAAGCCCCGGGCUCAACCUGGGAACUGCGCUCGAAACUGCGGAACUAGAGUUCGGGAGAGGAGAGUGGAAUUCCCAGUGUAGAGGUGAAAUUCGUAGAUAUUGGGAAGAACACCGGUGGCGAAGGCGGCUCUCUGGACCGAUACUGACGCUGAGGCGCGAAAGCGUGGGGAGCAAACAGG
rnacentral:rRNA from 1 species